rnacentral:rRNA from 1 species
UACGGAGGAUCCGAGCGUUAUCCGGAUUUAUUGGGUUUAAAGGGUGCGUAGGUGGAUUGGUAAGUCAGUGGUGAAAGUUUGCAGCUUAACUGUAAAAUUGCUGUUGAAACUGCCGGUCUUGAGUGCAAAUGAGGUAGGCGGAAUGCGUCGUGUAGCGGUGAAAUGCUUAGAUAUGACGCAGAACUCCGAUUGCGAAGGCAGCUUACUGGGAUGCAACUGACGCUGAGGCACGAAAGCGUGGGUAUCAAACAGGAUUAGA